rnacentral:lncRNA from 1 species
UUUGUAGGUCCUUGAUUUGCAGCUCCUUCAUCUGCAACUCCUUCAUUUACAACUCCUUCAUCUGCAGCUGCUUCAUCUGCAACUGCUUCAUUUGCUUGACCUACAGCUUCAUCAAAAGCUUCACCUGGAACUUCUUCACCUGCAAAAUCUUCUUUCCCCUCACCUUCAACAUCUUGGUUACCAAUAUAUGCAAAGUUUCGCAAGUUUCUAAGAUCACUUAGUUCCUUCCUCACAACAGCUAUUUCAUUCCUUACAUUUCUUAUCCUCUGGUUAUUUCUUCUAAUUUUAUCCACAACUGCUAAUUGGGAACUUCCAUCUCCUUCUUUUUCAAGUGCUUCUCCUUCACGGCUGCUACCUUCAACCCUUCCUACCCCUUUUCAAUGAGUUUUUUUUACAAUUAGUAAAAUGUUCACCUAUUUUACCCACAAUUGAUUCAUCCAAAGGUACCUCCAAUCCCCCCCACUCCAAACCCUAAACUCAUGACCACAUCUUGCACAUUCAAAGGAACCAAUUGUUGCCUAACUCUAAACGCUUGAUGGUGGGGAAUCCAUCGACGAACCAUGAGUUUCAACAAUUUUAGGUUAAGCUCUAUAGGAUCUUGAAUUCGUAAAGACAUCUUAAAUGGAGUUCCAAAAAUGCAGCUCUGAUGUCUCAAUUGCAGUAAGGAAUUCAUUUGGGUAAUAUAGGACGUAUCCAUCCAAGCCCUCAUGCGCCACUGUUCAAUAGUUGAAAUUUAUAACAAUCAAUUUAUAAAACAAUGCUCCAUAACAACUCACAAAACACAAAACUUCAAAAUCUACUUACAUUGCUUUUACAGGGUACCAUUUUCAGUUGUACUAAUACCGUCAAUCAAAUAUUAACCUAACAUAAAUUACAAAAGGAGAUAAUAUUAACUUCAAUGCAGUUGCUAAAA